CCUACGGGGAGCUGCAGUGGGGGAUAUUGCACAAUGGGGGAAACCCUGAUGCAGCGACGCCGCGUGUGGGAAGACGGUCUUCUGGAUUGUAAACCACUGUCCCCAGGGACGAAAAUGACGGUACCUGGGGAGGAAGCUCCGGCUAACUACGUGCCAGCAGCCGCGGUAAUACGUAGGGAGCAAGCGUUGGCCGGAAUUACUGGGUGUAAAGGGAGCGUGGGCGGGGAUGCAAGUUGGGUGUCAAAACUACCGGCUCAACCGAUAGUCGCACUCAAAACUGCAGCUCUUGAGUGAAGUAGAGGCAGGCGGAAUUCCUAGGGUAGCGGUGAAAUGCGUAGAUAUUAGGAGGAACACCAGUGGCGAAGGCGGCCUGCUGGGCUUUUACUGACGCUGAGGCUCGAAAGUGUGGGGAGCAAACAGGAUUAGAUACCCUUGUAGUC
rnacentral:rRNA from 1 species